GACCCCGUGGCGUAAUGGUAGCGCGUGAGAUUCCAAUCAGGAAUGUGUCGUCUUGGAGCUCGAGAGAGUCCCAAGCGUAUGUUUCCUCAAGGUUGUCCGUUCGAUUCGGGCCGGGGUCG